AGAAAAAAAACCUUAUUCUAAAGUAUCAAAAACAUCUGGAAAGCGAUCACUGCUGAAACAGACAGUAGAAGGAAAAUACUUAUUAAAACAAUCAGUCAUUUUGUGUAGUUCUAAUGAUUUGGCAAAAAUUAUAAUUGAUCAUCUCUUGAAGGAAAGGAAAACAAAUUAAAUUUCAGGAAAGUUAUAUUAUCAUUAUACGAAUAAACUUAAGAAAAUAAAAGCAGCAGUAACAGAAUUUAACCAAGAAGAAACUGAACAUAUAGAAAAGCAAAUUGAGGAGGAAGCUGAUGUGUAUAUUUCUGAAUUGAAUAAUAUGAAUACAUCUUUAGAUGAUAAGAAGAAAAUUUUAUCUCUAUGGGAAAAAACUUUUGUCUAUCGUAAAAAAGCUUACGGAAAUAAUAUUGCAAAGUAUUUUGACAGAUAUGUCUACAGUUGCGCCCACCGUUAGGAAUACAACUUAUUGAAUUAGAUUUUAAAUUAUUAAAUAUAGCGCAAAUCAAUACUUUAGAAAAAAAAGUGGCCGGUUUUGCAUCCAGACAUAAUUCGGUUGGCAAAAAAACGAUCAAUAGCAUCAAAUUUAUUACAAGAUUUCAAUAAAGUACCAGCAGAUGUACAAGCCUGGCUAGUUUUACCACAUUUAUUCAAACCAGUGCUGAAAAAAACAGGUUUAUCAAAAAAGCCAUGGAAACCAUCA